UCAGAUAUAAUGAGGGGUGAUCUGGCC
rnacentral:sRNA from 1 species